AGCACAAUGAUAUGAAAAUGCUUAUUAUAUAGAGAGAAAAUGAUAACAUAAAAAUUAUACUCAUAUGGAAUACGAUGUGUACU
ensembl:snoRNA SNORD115 Small nucleolar RNA SNORD115